rnacentral:rRNA from 1 species
UACGGGGGGGGCAAGCGUUGUUCGGAAUUACUGGGCGUAAAGGGCUCGUAGGCGGCCAACUAAGUCAGACGUGAAAUCCCUCGGCUUAACCGGGGAACUGCGUCUGAUACUGGAUGGCUUGAGUUCGGGAGAGGGAUGCGGAAUUCCCGGUGUAGCGGUGAAAUGCGCAGAUAUCGGGAGGAACACCAAUUGCGAAGGCAGCUUGCUGGGACGGUACUGACGCUGAGGCGCGAAAGCGUGGGGAGCAAACAGG